rnacentral:rRNA from 1 species
CCUACGGGAGGCAGCAGUGGGGAAUCUUGCGCAAUGGGCGAAAGCCUGACGCAGCCAUGCCGCGUGAAUGAUGAAGGUCUUAGGAUUGUAAAAUUCUUUCAGUAGGGACGAUAAUGACGGUACCUACAGAAGAAGCCCCGGCUAACUUCGUGCCAGCAGCCGCGGUAAUACGAAGGGGGCUAGCGUUGCUCGGAAUUACUGGGCGUAAAGGGAGCGUAGGCGGGUUAUCAAGUUGGAGGUGAAAGCCCAGGGCUCAACCUUGGAAUUGCCUUCAAAACUGAUAGCCUAGAGUAUGAUAGAGGUAUGUGGAACUCCGAGUGUAGAGGUGAAAUUCGUAGAUAUUCGGAAGAACACCAGUGGCGAAGGCGACAUACUGGGUCAUGACUGACGCUGAGGCUCGAAAGCGUGGGGAGCAAACAGGAUUAGAUACCCUGGUAGUCCACGCUGUAAACGAUGAUUGCUAGUUGUCGGACGGCAUGCCGUUCGGUGACGCAGCUAACGCAUUAAGCAAUCCGCCUGGGGAUACGGUCGCAAAGAUUAAAAACCUCAAAAGUAGUAAGUACGGACGNGAGAGAGACGACGACGACGACGAGGAGGAGAGG